GUGUCUUUCCCUGCCACUAUAUGGCAUUGUGCUAAGGGACGGAGCGCUUUGAUUGAGGGGCGGUGCGAUGCGUCUCUAUAUAUAGAUGUGCGAUGCAUUUGCCUCUUCCUCUUCCGCUUCCUUCCUGUGGCCACCGUGAUUGUGUGACGUGGUCGUUGCGGGCAUAUGAUCCUCUUCGCUCAGAGCGCGACCGGCUGCCGGGCCGUGGGGAUGUGUCGCCCCACUGGUAGUUUUUCCUGGAGAUGCUCAUCUGCCCUUUCGGAGCUGGCUGUCUUCUGCCUCUUUCCGGCGUGGCCGUAGCCUUACGGAACGAGGCGAGGGUAAACUGCCGGCAACUACCAGUCACUCCUCCCUGGGUCUGCGCUGCUUUUUUGGCUCUACUACCGUUUUGGCUCCAUUAUUGUAUCGGCUGUAUUGCUGUUUUGGUCUGAUGUGGAGUUUGUUCCUUCCCUUUUUUUCCUGUGUUGGUUUUUUUCCUUUAUUGUAUUGAUGAGUUUAUUAUAUUGUUUUUUUCUUUUUUUCUUUCUUUAGGUCCAUGUUUUAAUUCACGCCAGUUAUACUAACCUUUGGGCUUGUUUUAUUAAUCGCUAUUUCUUCUGUUGUCAGGUGUCGUGGGCUCCCUGUGGCCGUUAAUCCCUGGUGGUGGUGUGUUCUCCACGAUCCCCCCUUUUUUUGGUUUUGUGUUUGCAUGAGUGUGUAGUUUCAUGGGUGAUUUUGUUGAGGACCUCCCCGCCUCUUUGUCUUGUGGUUGUCCUGCUGCAUGGUAGCCCCGGCCAGCUUCAUUUGCCCCUUGGUUUGUUUUAUUGUGUGUUCAAUUGCUGUGACUGUGUUUGAAUUGUAUUUUGUUUACUUCAUGUGUUAAUAAAUUGUUUGUUGUGGAACCGUCUCGCCCUGUGGUAUUGAACCUGUGUGGCCUUGGUCUCAAUAACCAACACAGUUAAGCUCAGAUUUCCUGGG